rnacentral:tRNA from 1 species
GCGCCCGUAGCUCAACCGGAUAGAGCGUUGGAUUCCGGUUCCAAAGGUUGGGGGUUCGACUCCCUUCGGGCGCG